rnacentral:misc_RNA from 1 species
GUCGAAGCCGAGGUUCUCCCGCGCCUGGAGCGCAACCACGCGUUGUUCAAUGAUCCGCGCCUCACCUAUGCUGCCGACGGGCGUUAUGCGCCGGAGGUGCGCGCGCUAAUCCGCGAGGUGCGCAUGGCGUCCGGUUCCUACGUGGUGGGGGCCCCAGCCGCGAUUGGCGGCGGCGGGCUCGGACAUCUUGCCUAUUACGUCGCCUGGGAGGCCGUCUACCGACGAAUCGGCGGCCAUUCGAUCCUGACGCCCUGGGUGAUCGCUCAUUGGGCCUUUGGGCCGAGCGCAAUGCUGACGCAAGCGACACCGGAGGCGCAGGCGCGCUGUCUCGACGCAAUGAUCACGGGACGCACCUCGAUGUGUUUCGGACUGUCGGAACCAGGAGCGGGCUCGGACGCCAGCAUGAUAAAGACCCGCGCGGUGGGCGAUGGAGACGGCUGGCGCAUCACCGGACGGAAACUCUGGACCACGAACUCGCCCACCGCGGAAUGGUGCAUCGUGUUUGCCGUCACCGAUCCGGGUAAGGCGCAGCGAAAAGCC